CUCAGGUCAAUCCAUUUCUUUGGUAUUACGAACUGAUGCUGGAGUUUUAUAUUAUUUGACUUUGUUGUGUCAAAGGGCUUGAGGUGUCUCAUAGUUGGGAAGAUCGAAAAGAAAGAAGAUCCGAUGCGGAGAACUCUAAGGAUGAAAGACGAAGAUUAAGUAUUGGAGCUUUAAAGAAAAAGGCACUGAGUGCUUCUUCUAAGUUCACACAUUCUCUCAAGAAGCGAGGGAAGAGGAGAGAUGUUAAUAGGACUUCUUCUGUUUCAAUCGAGAAUGAUAGGGAUUUGGAAGAGGAGCACGAAGUAUACACAUUCCGCAAGGGGCUAAUUUCUAGGGACUUAUUGCCUGAUAAACAUGACGACUAUCACAUGCUGCUCAGGUUUCUGAAAGCUAGAAAAUUUGAUCGUGAGAAAGCAACUCUUAUGUAGGCAGAUAUGCUUUAGUGGAGACAGGAAUUUGGAGCAGAUACAAUUUUGGAUAUAUACAAUGGUAGGUGUUUUGUCCUAGUCUCAAGCCGACAAUUCUUUUUUAUCAGUAUAUCUAAUAGAAGUAAGCAUGCAGAUCGUUGUCUUCGAGGCCGACUAGCUAUUUUGUGCUUUUUUUGUUUUAAAUUCGAAUGUUACUAUCUACUUUGAAACAGAACUAUUUAGUCUUUGUGUAUAGUUGAA